CCCGCUGAACUUAAGCAUAUCAAUAAGCGGAGGAUAAGAAACUAACAAGGAUUCCCCUAGUAACUGCGAGUGAAGCGGGAAAAGCUCAAAUUUAAAAUCUGGUGGUCUUUGGCCAUCCGAGUUGUAAUUUAGAGAAGCGUCUUCCGCGCUGGACCGUGCACAAGUCUCCUGGAAUGGAGCGUCAUAGAGGGUGAGAAUCCCGUCUUUGGCAUGGAAUCCCAGGGCUUCUGUGAUGCGCUCUCGACGAGUCGAGUUGUUUGGGAAUGCAGCUCAAAAUGGGUGGUGAACUCCAUCUAAAGCUAAAUAUUGGCGAGAGACCGAUAGCGAACAAGUACCGUGAGGGAUAGAUGAAAAGCACUUUGGAAAGAGAGUGAAAACAGUACGUGAAAUUGUUGAAAGGGAAACGCUUGAAGUCAGUCGCGUCGACCGAGACUCAGCCUUGCCUUGGCUUGGUGUACUUCUCGGCUGACGGGUCAGCAUCGAUUUCAAUCCUCGGAUAAUGGCAAGGGAAAGGUAGCACCUUUUUAGGUGUGUUAUAGUCCUCUGUCGCAUGCGAGGGUCGGGAUCGAGGAACUCAGCGCGCACCUCAGGGUGUCGGGGCCGCUUGGGCCCACGUUUACGUGCUUAGGAUGCUGGCGUAAUGGCUUUAAACGACCCGUCUUGAAACACGG
rnacentral:rRNA from 1 species